CUUCAAUCUCUGAUUCAGAGAGAAACCCGGAAGAAUUUUCAGAAGCACAAUGACAGAAGAAGCAACCCCAACCCAUAAGCCUUCCACUUUGAUGACGCUCCUCUCAACCUCGAUUUUCCUUCGCUUUUCUCAGCCGCCAAACGGGUUUUGAGGAGAUUGUUGAUUGCGUUGGUGUCUGGUUUAUUUCAAAGAAACGGCAUCGAAAGAGAGGGGAGAAGGGGGGCUGUCUAAUUUUAUUUUUCUUCUCUACCGUAGGAAAAUUUGGGGGUGAUAUGAUUAUAGGUGAAGCUCACUUGCUUCAGAAAUAUGGGAUCGUCCUUGUACUUGUCUGACUUUUUAUUUGGGAUUAUUGUGAUGUAUUGAAUAUGAUUGGGGUGUAUCUGGAA